rnacentral:lncRNA from 1 species
GCCAAGUUGAAUUCAAGACGGGCUAAAUGAGGAAAAUAUUUUGAGAUUUAAGUAACUUAGCACUUUGGCCCGCAAUUGGACGGCCCAUGCCCGCGCCUCAAACCCAGCCCGCUCGUGCACAUGACCAGCACUUCCAAGCUCCUCACGUGGGCCCGCGCCGUCUCCAAACUGCCCAAGCACCAAACACAUGCACAUGGGCCCCGCCAAAUCCACUCCACCAUUUCACUUCAUGUGGAACAUGGCCCGCUUCAUCAUUCUCUCACGCAAACCAAACUCUUCACAUGGACCGCGCCUCAGCCCAAGCGCUUCACGCCAAGGGGCCCGCCGAAGCACUCCCUCACAUGGACCAAGGCCAUUUCCUCACGUGGACCACAGAUCGCGCGCUCCAGGCUCCGCACGUCCACUCGCCCGUUCCAGCACAUCACCGCACCUGAUCCACUCACGCACAUGACCGCGAGCAAUUUUCCUGAAUAGGGCACCGCUCCUCUGCACCUAUUUAAAGCUCUUCAGUGGACGAUACAAGGACAAUUCAAUUCCAAUCUCUCCUGUUCGGCGAUUUCCGCAGCCCGGCGCAAGAAUUUCUUCGGUUUUAUUUUUCUUUUCCCUUUUAUUUAUUUUUAGUUUUUAAUUCAGUCAUUGAGUGGCUGAUUUCUUUCAUCUAGUUGAAUAUUGGUUAAAGCUUUAGUUGUUUAAUGGGUUGUGAGACUUGAUCAAAUAUUGUUUAAUUUUGGGAAUUCAAUAUUCAUGCAAUUUCAUAUUUAAUUCUCAUAUUAUUUUGUUAUUGAAAUCUACAUUGAUUUUUGAUUGUAAAAUAAUUAUUUGUUAGUUUGAAUAAUUUAAAUCCGUAAUUGCUUGGGUUAUUCUUACAUGAGAACACUUGGGAUAAAACCCAAGAAAAUUGUUUGAUCUAGCGUUAUCUCCAUACGUUUAGGUAGUUAGGAUUGGAUCUCUCUCUUAAUGCAAUUGACAAUUGUUUUGAUGCCUAAGGCCCAAGGACGUUCCUUGGCAAUUUGUUAAUUAGUAAUUAAUUAGAGGACGUUCCCUAAUUGGUUUAAUCAUAAGGAGAGAUAAUGGUGGUGAGAAGCGUCUUCCAUCCCCAUAACUAAUCUAUUGAAUCAACCCAAAAGAACAAAGUGUCUGUGAUCAAUCCCAACGACUAAAGUGGAUCCAAUACUUCAACUAGAGCUUUCUUAUUAUUUAUUUCUCUUUUAUUUUAUUAUUCGCUUAUUUUAAUUGCUUUUAGUAGUUUGUUAAUCAAAUCAAUCUCAAACCCCCCAUUUUACUUUUACUGCAAUUUAUUUUUAUUCCUCUGUCAGUUUUAUCUCAUUUCAGUUUUAUUCCUCUUUCAGUUUAUCUCAUUUUUGGUUUAUCUCAUUAUUUCAGUUUAUUUUAUUGGUCUUGUUGAGAAAAAUAAAUAGGUAAUCAAUUCUCUGUGGAUUCGAUCCUUCACCACUAUCUACAGUUGUAAAUUGUUGAUAACCAAGAAGGUUAUUUUUGACCGGCUUCGACAACCGCGAGUCAAAAAUUGGCGCCAUUGCCGAGGAAUUGAUUUUACUUGUUUAAUUUUCUUUCAUGAUCAGAUCUGAACACAGGGACACACUGCCCUUUGAUCCAGAAAUUGAACGCACUCUUAGAAGACUUAGAAAGCAAGCCGCAGAAGCUUCAUCUGAAGCAACAGAAUUUUGCCAACAAGCCGCACCAAUGGCUGAACCUAAUCCACAACUUGUUGCCAAUAAUGGACAUGACCAAAUAAUUCAAGAAAAUCCAGCAGUUAGGCCCCAAGAACAAAGAGAAAGAACCACGAGGGAGUUAGCAACACCCAUAGGUGAUCAUGCAUCACUUUGCAUCACCUAUUCGCCUUUGACAGUUCCCUUUGAACUGAAAUCAGGUUUGAUUCAUCAUCUCCCUAAAUUUAGAGGUUUGCAAAAUGAAAAUCCACACAAACACUUGAAAGAAUUCAACAUUGUCUGUUCAUCUAUGACACCUCAAGGUGUUUCUGAAGAUCAUGUUAAGUUAAGAGCUUUCCCUUUUUCCUUAAAUGAUUUUGCUAAAGAUUGGUUAUUUUAUUUGCCACAUGGAUCUAUAACUUCAUGAGGUGAUAUGGUCCAAACCUUUUGGGACAAAUAUUUCCCACCAUCUAAAUCAAUUGGCAUAAUAAGAGAAAUCACUAGCAUAAGACAAAAACCAACUGAAGACUUAUAUGAUUAUUGGGAAAGGUUUGAAAGACUAUGUACAGGUUGUCCACAACAUGAUAUGUCAGACAGGGCACUCAUACAAUUCUUCUAUGGAGGAUUAACUCCUUCGAAAAGGAAAUUCAUUAACGUAGCCUGUGGAGGAUCCAUUGCAGACAAGACACCUAGGGAGAUGAAGGAACUAAUAUCCACUCUUGCAGCUUCAUCUAAGCAAUAUGAAGAAGAGGGGCAAACGCAAAGAGGAAUCUAUGAGGUAAGUACAUCCUCUGUUGAAUCUCAAAUUUCAAAACUAACUUCUCUUGUGGAAAAGAUCGCCCUUGGCCAAGUCCAACAAAUGCAAGCAAUUCCACCACCUAGGCCAUGUGAGAUCUGUGCUUAUGUAGGACACCCAACUGAUCAAUGUCCCACACUCCAAGAAGAUCAUCACCAAGUCAAUGCUAUUGGAGGGUACCACAACCAGCCUAGACAUGAUCCAUACUCCAAUACAUACAAUCCAGGUUGGAGAGACCAUCCCAAUUUCAGCUAUGGAAGGGCCAACAAUAGUCAGAAUUACCAAAAUCUCCAAAGAAAUCAAGCAAAACCAGCACCUUCAAAUCCAAAUCAGCACCUUGAAAAGAUGAUGGAAUCCAUGGCAAGCGCUAUACAAAGUCUCAAUCAGCGCAUGGAUCUACUGACCACAUCAAGAGGCAAUUCUGAAACUCAAGGUAAGCUCCCUUCUCAAACUGAAACUAAUCCCAGACAAAAUGUCAGUGCCAUUACUUUGAGAAGUGGAAAAGAGCUUCAAGAGGCCAAGAUUGAUGAAAGAACACCUCCUACACAAUCUGAAAGGGAGAUCUAUGCGCAAGAACCAACUGCAGAAGAGCACAUUGCGCAAAGACCCAUCCCGGAAGCCACUCCUGCGCAAACUGAAGUCCCCCCUGCGCAAAGAGCUGAUCCGAAAGUAAGUUUCCACAUUCCACCUCCUUUUCCCAAGAGAUUUGAAAGAACACAAAAAGAAAAAGAAGAAAAGGAGAUUCUUGACACUUUCAGAAAAGUGCAAAUCAAUAUACCUCUGCUAGAUGCUGUUAAGCAGAUUCCCAGGUACGCUAAAUUUCUGAAAGAACUUUGCACUAAUAGAAGGAAGCUUGCAGAAAGAGAAAAAGUAAGUGUAGGUGAGGUAGUGACUGCUGUUAUUAAAAGAGAACUCCCUACUAAAUGCAAGGACAAAGGUAUGUUUGCUAUCUCUUGCAAGAUUGGGAAUGUUGGUAUAAAGAAAGCCAUGUGUGAUCUUGGUGCAUCCAUUAAUAUCAUGCCUCUCUCCAUCUAUAAAUCUCUCAAUGCAUGUGCACUCAAAGAAACAAGAGUUGUGAUUCAACUAGCUGAUAGAUCUGUGGUAUAUCCCAUAGGUGUUCUAGAAGAUGUGUUAGUCCAAGUAAAUGAACUUGUCUUUCCUGCUGAUUUUUAUGUGAUUGAUACUAAGGAAGAUAAUUGCAAUGCUAGUUCUGAUAUACUUCUUGGACGUCCUUUCUUGAGUACUGCUAGGACUAAGAUUGAUGUGCAUGAUGGUACUCUCACUAUGGAAUUUGAAGGGGAAGUGAUUAAAUAUAAUGUCUAUGAUUCCAUGAAAUAUCCACAUGAUAUAUCCCCUGUUUAUGGUCUUGAUAUUGUUGACUGCUUAAGCUAGGAAAUUUUUAAUGAAAAUCAAGAUGAUAUUCUUAACAGUAAUUUCUGCAGAGAUACUGAUCAGGUACAGAUUGAGAGCCAGAAAGAGCCAAAACUUAAGGAAACAGUUUGUAGCAUCCAACAGAUAGUUUGCAGUCAAGCGCAGAUUGGAGAAAACUCAGUUGCACCACUUCAGAAUGGUGUGCAGACCCUUCUUGCGCAAAAAAGAGGCACUUGAAAGCCUCUUAGGCGCAUCCUUACAGCCUCCCGCGCAAAGCAGCUUCCAUCCGCCUCCCUUUCAGUCCACUCCUGCACAAGGAAAGGCACCUGAAAGCCUUUCAAGCACAUCAACUCAGUCCCAAUCUCAAAUCUCGCCCACUCUUUACCCAACGCAGACAAGCCACGCGCGAAUGGAAAAAGGUGAGCCUAGUUCAGUCAGCAAUCCAUCUAAGAAAAUCUCAGAAUCAGAUCUGAAGCCUCUUCCAGGCCAUCUGAAAUACAUGUACUUGGGAGCUGACAAGACACUUCCAGUAAUAGUGUCCAAUGAACUGAACCAACAUGAAGAAGCAAGCCUCCUGAAAGUACUACAGAAACACAAAGGAGCCAUAGGAUGGACCAUUGAUGACAUAAAAGGUAUUUCUCCUUCCACAUGCAUGCAUAGAAUUCACAUGGAAGAUGAAUGCAAGCCAGUUCGAGAUGCUCAAAGAAGACUGAACCCACCUAUGAUGGAGGUAGUAAAGAAAGAAAUAGUCAAGCUCCUUGAUGCAGGAAUCAUUUACCCAAUCUCUGAUAGCCAAUGGGUGAGUCCUGUGCAUGUAGUCCCAAAGAAAACUGGGAUCACCAUUGUUCCAAAUGCUAAAGGAGAACUUGUUCCCACUAGAGUUCAAAAUGGAUCGAGGGUGUGCAUGGACUAUAGAAAGCUCAACGCUGCAACAAGAAAAGACCACUUCCCACUGCCUUUCAUUGAUCAGAUGCUAGAAAGGCUUGCAGGUAAGUCUCACUAUUGUUAUCUUGAUGGUUAUUUAGGUUUUUAUCAGAUUCUAGUUGCUCCUGAGGACCAAGAGAAGACCACCUUCACUUGUCCUUUUGGCACUUUUGCCUUUAGAAGAAUGCCAUUUGGACUAUGCAAUGCACCUGCCACCUUUCAGCGGUGCAUGAUGAGCAUAUUUUCUGACUAUGUGGGUAAGACAAUUGAAGUAUUCAUGGAUGAUUUCACUGUGCAUGGCAACUCUUUUGAGGAAUGCCUUGCCAACUUGGAAAAGAUCUUACAAAGAUGCAUUGAGACUAACCUUGUGCUUAAUUAUGAAAAAUGCCAUUUUAUGGUUAAUCAAGGUAUGGUCUUAGGUCAUGUUGUUUCAGCUAAAGGCAUUGAAGUGGACAAAGCAAAGGUGGAUACCAUCAAAAAUCUGCCUUAUCCCACAACUGUUAAAGACAUCCGAUCAUUCCUUGGCCAUGCAGGAUUCUAUCGAAGAUUCAUCAAAGAUUUCUCGAAAAUCACUUUGCCAUUAUGCAGAUUGCUCCAACAGGAUGUAACCUUUGAUUUUGAUGCAGACUGCAAAAAGGCAUUUGACUUGAUUAAAGAAUUGCUUGUGACUGCCCCAAUUAUUCAAGGACCUGAUUGGAACCUGCCUUUUGAAAUCAUGUGUGAUGCAAGCAACUAUGCAGUAGGAGCAGUUUUGGGGCAACGUGUGGGAAACUCACCCCACGCCAUUCACUAUGCCUCUCGCACACUAGAUGCUGCACAAAACAACUACACAACAACUGAAAAAGAACUCUUGGCAGUUGUAUUUGCUUUAGAAAAAUUCAGACCCUACCUCUUGGGCACCAAAGUCAUUGUCUAUUCUGACCAUGCAGCUUUGCGAUACUUGAUAAAGAAAAAGGAAGCCAAGCCAAGACUAAUUAGGUGGAUUCUUCUCCUCCAAGAAUUUGAUCUGGAAAUAAGAGACAAAAAAGGCAAAGAAAAUCUUGUAGCUGACCACCUCAGCCGGCUUCCAUCCAAUUCUGCACCUUGUCCAGUUGAAGAGGCUUUCCCAGACGAACAUCUGUUCGUCACUCUUUCUGCCUAGAUGAUCAUGCCAUGCACACCACACCCCAGGGGAGUACUCAGUUUCAUUUGUUCUCUUCUUCUCUCUUCUUUUACAUUGAGGACAAUGCAUGAUUUAAGUGUGGGGGUGCAUAUCUCUUCUUCUCCUUCUCUUCUUCUUUCUAAAAUUAAAAAAAAUAAUAAAAAAAAAUAAAUAAAUAAAUAAAUUUUCCUUUCAGUUAUGCGAUUUAUGCUUUCUUUUAGUUUAUUUUUGCCUUCAAUAAUACACACACAACCACAACCUUCUUUUUGUUUUGCUCUACUCAAACUGAUGAACUAUGUUAGAUGAGUUUUUCUCUCCAUGACCCCAUUGAUGUUAGAACUCUUUAAACUUAUGUUGAAUCAAUUGCAGUGAGUUACAUUCAUGUUUGAGAAUUGCCUUUUGAAUUGAAUCUUUGAGUUUGCCAUGGUGAAAAAUAUAUUGAUGACCCUCAAUUGAUGAGAAUAAAUUGAAAGUUGUGUGAAUGGACUUAAUGUGACUUGAUUUAGCAAUUGGUGUUGAUUUGCCCAAAUCAUUGAGAGAAAGAAAAUUCAGCAAAGGCAAAGACCUCAAAAGCACAAAUCCAAGAUUGUUCCAAUGGUCAAAAGACUAUGAACAGAGCUACUAGCCACUUGGAAAGGUGACCAACUGAGUAACUGGGGGUGGGUAUCACAAAUAUGUACUUUCACGUCAAAAGGUUGGUGACCUCUCCAAGCAAGAUCUAAAAGUGCAAAAAGCCUGAAUAUAGUACUUCAAGCGAGGGCAAGUCACUCCAAGGGCUAGAAAAAGUCUUAACAAAUAAUGUGCAUGUAUGGUCUCUCUUGAGGAAAAUAAAUCCUAGCCAUGGUAAGCAAAGGGAAACGAGAAAAGGAGGUGAGUAAUCUUCAUGCAUAUAUUCUUCACUGCAAUAAUUCAAAAUAGGGGUCUAGAGUAAGAGCUCAAGUGGAAAUAAGGAUCUAGAGUGAGAAAGCUUGUUUCACUAAGUUUAUUUGCUUGAGGACAAGCAAAAGGCUAAGUGUGGGGGUAUUUGAUAGAGCAUAAUUUAGUCCAUUUUAUAUUAAUAUUAUUGAUGAAUAUUUACAUGAUUUUUGCUUAAUGUAGUGCUUUUAAUAUUAUUUUGCAGAAAAUGAUGUAAAAGGACAUUUUGGAGAAAAUCCCCCUAAAACUGCCUUAUUUGGAGCAAAAGAGAGCAAAGCCGCCAAGUUGAAUUCAAGACGGGCUAAAUGAGGAAAAUAUUUUGAGAUUUAAGUAACUUAGCACUUUGGCCCGCAAUUGGACGGCCCAUGCCUGCGUCUCAAACCCAGCCCGCUCGUGCACAUGACCAGCACUUCCAAGCUCCUCACGUGGGCCCGCGCCGUCUCCAAACUGCCCAAGCACCAAACACAUGCACAUGGGCCCCGCCAAAUCCACUCCACCAUUUCACUUCACGUGGAACAUGGCCCGCUUCAUCAUUCUCUCACGCAAACCAAACUCUUCACAUGGACCGCGCCUCAGCCCAAGCGCUUCACUCCAAGGGGCCCGCCGAAGCACUCCCUCACAUGGACCAAGGCCAUUUCCUCACGUGGACCACAGAUCGCGCGCUCCAGGCUCUGCACGUCCACUCGCCCGUUCCAGCACAUUACCGCACCUGAUCCACUCAUGCACAUGACCGCGAGCAAUUUUCCUGAAUAGGGCACCGCUCCUCUGCACCUAUUUAAAGGCUCUUCAGUGGACAAUACAA